AUUGAACGCUGGCGGCAGGCCUAACACAUGCAAGUCGAGCGGAUGAAGGGAGCUUGCUCCUGGAUUCAGCGGCGGACGGGUGAGUAAUGCCUAGGAAUCUGCCUGGUAGUGGGGGAUGACGUCCGGUAACGGGCGCUAAUACCGCAUACGUCCUGAUGGAGAAAGUGGGGGAUCUUCGGACCUCACGCUAUUAGAUGAGCCUAGGUCGGAUUAGCUAGUUGGUGGGGUAAAGGCCUACCAAGGCGACGAUCCGUAACUGGUCUGAGAGGAUGAUCAGUCACACUGGAACUGAGACACGGUCCAGACUCCUACGGGAGGCAGCAGUGGGGAAUAUUGGACAAUGGGCGAAAGCCUGAUCCAGCCAUGCCGCGUGUGUGAAGAAGGUCUUCGGAUUGUAAAGCACUUUAAGUUGGGAGGAAGGGCAGUAAGUUAAUACCUUGCUGUUUUGACGUUACCAACAGAAUAAGCACCGGCUAACUUCGUG
rnacentral:rRNA from 1 species